AAUAUACUCCAUCCGUCUGGAAAUACUUGUCGGAUAAAUGGAUAAAAAAUGGAUGCAUCUACAACUAGUACGUCUAGAUACAUCCAUUUCUCUAACAAAGUAUUUCUAGGCGGGUGGAGUACCUA
rfam:Triticum aestivum genome assembly, contig: Triticum_aestivum_CS42_TGACv1_scaffold_252572_3DL